rnacentral:misc_RNA from 1 species
GAUGAAGAACGUAGUGAAAUGCGAUAAGUAGUGUGAAUUGCAGAAUUCAGUGAAUCAUCGAAUCUUUGAACGCACAUUGCGCCCCUUGGUAUUCCAUGGGGCAUGCCUGAUCGAGCGUCAUUUGUACCUUCAAGCUCUGCUUGGUGUUGGGUGUUUGUCUCGCCUCUGCGUGUAGACUCGCCUCAAAACAAUUGGCAGCCGGCGUAUUGAUUUCGGAGCGCAGUACAUCUCGCGCUUUGCACUCAUAACGACGACGUCCAAAAGUACAUUUUUACACUCUUGACCUCGGAUCAGGUAGGAAUACCCGCUGAACUUAAGCAUAUCAAUAAGCGGAGGA